rnacentral:rRNA from 1 species
UACGUAGGGUGCGAGCGUUGUCCGGAAUUACUGGGCGUAAAGAGCUCGUAGGCGGUUUGUCGCGUUGUCCGUGAAAACUCACAACUCAAUUGUGGGCGUGCGGGCGAUACGGGCAGACUGGAGUACUGCAGGGGAGACUGGAAUUCCUGGUGUAGCGGUGGAAUGCGCAGAUAUCAGGAGGAACACCGGUGGCGAAGGCGGGUCUCUGGGCAGUAACUGACGCUGAGGAGCGAAAGCAUGGGGAGCGAACAGG